UACGUAGGUGGCAAGCGUUAUCCGGAAUUAUUGGGCGUAAAGCGCGCGCAGGUGGUUUUUUAAGUCUGAUGUGAAAGCCCACGGCUCAACCGUGGAGGGUCAUUGGAAACUGGGAGACUUGAGUGCAGAAGAGGAAAGUGGAAUUCCAUGUGUAGCGGUGAAAUGCGUAGAGAUAUGGAGGAACACCAGUGGCGAAGGCGACUUUCUGGUCUGUAAUUGACACUGAGGCGCGAAAGCGUGGGGAGCAAACAGG
rnacentral:rRNA from 1 species